UAUACAUUAUGGGUGUGUUGGAUAGUAGCGCUGGGAAUAGCCAGUGACCUCACGAUACGAUAUUAUCACAGUACUUAGGUGCUGAUAUGAUAUGUAUUACAAUUUUCACGAUUCUACAUGUAUUACGAUUCUAUACUGUGAUUUUAUUGUGAUUCGAUGUUCCAAACAUUGCUCACUAUAUGUCUGUGGCAGAGAGACUAGAAAUCAUGAGAAAAUAAUGGAAAUAACAUUUCCUCCAAAUAUGUGCUUCCUAUUUCAAAUGAAAAUGGAGAACAGUCUAUGAAGGAAAAUAAGAGGUUUAGUGCAGAGACAACCAACUAACACAAACAUAAUAGUUUGAUAUUGUUGAUGCGAUACAACAUGAUAUAUCGUGGAAAAUAAUAUCCCGAUGUGUAACUAUCCAUUUUUUUCCCUUCAUUACUAUUGGAUAGGCGUUUUAACGGUCUUGCUGUUAUAAAUGCAGUUCCUUAUUGACACCAUUGAGGUGGGGUUUGUUAAGCUUAUUGUAGCUUCUGGUCACUACUGUAUGUAUAUACUUAUCAAAAGGAAUACAAUGAAAUAUAAUGAUUAAAGAUAUGCUUUUUAUUCAAAUGUCCAGAAGCAGAUGUAGCAGAAAAGGAACAACAAAUAACAAAUGUAGUGUGUAUAAAAUAGUGAAGGUGAAACAUCCUGAAACACUAUUAUCUCCCCAUAAUAUUAGAUUGUUCCAUUAAUCAAAUAUAUAAUUCAUCCUUUAAAUCCCAUAUGAUUCUUUCCUUUAUUGUGAUAAAAUGUGAAAACAACGCAUGUGGUCUGUGACCCAAGCUGACAGGACUGUUUUAAUAUUCCUAUCUAAUGGAUGCUUCAUGAGAAUUUGAACUGAAUGAAUUUGAA